rnacentral:tRNA from 1 species
GGAGAGAUGGUCGAGUGGUUUAAGGCGGCGGUCUUGAAAACCGCAGAGGUGCAAGCCUCCGGGGGUUCGAAUCCCUCUCUCUCCGCCA